GUCCACGCCCUAAACGAUGCAUAUUUGGUGUGGGUCAUUCAGUUGAUCCGUGCCGGAGCUAACGCGUUAAAUAUGCCGCCUGGGGAGUACAGUCGCAAGGCUGAAACUCAAAGGAAUUGACGGGGGCCCCGCACAAGCGGUGGAGCAUGUGGUUCAAUUCGACGCAACGCGAAGAACCUUACCUGGGCUCGAACGGCUGGUCAACGACCUUGGAAACAGGGUUACUCCGCAAGGGGGUCCAGUCGAGGUGCUGCAUGGCUGUCGU
rnacentral:rRNA from 1 species